rnacentral:rRNA from 1 species
UGGGGAAUAUUGCACAAUGGGCGCAAGCCUGAUGCAGCCAUGCCGCGUGUGUGAAGAAGGCCUUCGGGUUGUAAAGCACUUUCAGCGGGGAGGAAGGCGGUGAGGUUAAUAACCUCAUCGAUUGACGUUACCCGCAGAAGAAGCACCGGCUAACUCCGUGCCAGCAGCCGCGGUAAUACGGAGGGUGCAAGCGUUAAUCGGAAUUACUGGGCGUAAAGCGCACGCAGGCGGUCUGUCAAGUCGGAUGUGAAAUCCCCGGGCUCAACCUGGGAACUGCAUUCGAAACUGGCAGGCUAGAGUCUUGUAGAGGGGGGUAGAAUUCCAGGUGUAGCGAUGAAAUGCGUAGAGAUCUGGAGGAAUACCGGUGGCGAAGGCGGCCCCCUGGACAAAGACUGACGCUCAGGUGCGAAAGCGUGGGGAGCAAACAGG